AGAGGUUAGGGCCAUGUAACUAAUGUAGCCAACCAUAAUCUACUUUUCUCAGAAAAUAACAGUCACUGUUAUUUUGUUCAGUCUUUAUACAUUUGUGCAGAAUCUUGUCUCUCUUUGUCUCUGUGUGAUGUAAUCAGACUCCCCAUACAGGAAGUAGAGCGGUUUGUCAGAAGAACUGUAGUGGGACAGAAUGGAGAACACCGUGCUCUGUGUGCUACUCUUGCUGAGUUUCCUCAUCUACUGUGGACACUGGUGAAGAUGGCAGAUAUUCAUUUAUUUGAUCAAAUCUCUGUCUUUAUGUUUCAUCCUCUUUGUCUCUGUCACUGCUUUUCCUUUCUCACAGUCAUUGUUUUUGAUAAAAUCGGUGAUUUAGUUGAAAUAGAUGAUUCAGUUGAAAUAUGUUAUUCAAAUUCAAUAGGUGAUUCAGUUGAAAUAGGUGAUUCAAUUGAAAUAGGUGAUUGAUACACUAUUUAUAUUGAGCCAUUCAUGAUGUACGUGUCAGUAUUCGGUUGUGUUUGUAUGCUCUGUGUAGAAAAGUAAAACAAAUGUGUUUUAUUUGUCCCAUGAUACUGUAACAAGUAAAAGGUAAUGGUAUUGUGUUGAUUGUGUCUAUGCAGAGAAACCUGUUCUGACCAUCCAGCCCAACAGCACUCUGUACCCUGGAGAGACAGUUAUACUGACGGUUACUCUUACUGAUGGUGAUGUGAUCCUGGAGAGUCCUGUCCAUCCCCUGACUGAAGGAGACUGUAACUCUGACCUGUAUAUUUAAAUAUCAGGAAACAUAUCCUAACCCGAAGACUGAGAUGUCAGAAGAGCAUUGUGUGUUCAAGUGUCUUGAUGGUAUAAUCAUGUGUUUUUCUAGACCCUCCAGGUUCUGUUGUCUCCAUCUCUCUGACCAGGCUGCUGUGUGGUCUACUGGUGAUGUCUCCCUUUCUACUGGUGUCCAUCCUGUGACUGAAGGAGACUCUGUGACUCUGACCUGUACAUUUAGACAUCAGGGAACAAAUCCUAAACUCAAGACUGAUUUCUACAAAGAUGGAACACUCAUCAAGAAUGAGACCACAGGAGAGAUGACCAUCCCUAUAGUAUCCAAGUCAGAUGAAGGAUUCUAUAAGUGUAAAUCUGAUGAAGGAGAAUCACCAGAGAGCUGGGUGGCAGUGAGAGUCCCUCCAGGUUCUGUUGUCUCCAUCUCUCUGACCAGGCUGCUGUGUGGUCUACUGGUGAUGUCUCCCUUUCUACUGGUGUCCAUCAUGCUGACGGUGAAAUGCUGCAGGGCUCGAGGUUUGUGUUCAACAGUCAAAUAUCCUCAAGACCAGAUACCAUGUGAUGAUGUCAUCGAACAGAACGAAUCCUUAGUGUGAUCAUUACAGUACGAACUGUAAGCUGAACAACCAUUUUUAUGAUUGUAAAGUUCUUACCAUUGAUAUAGGAUAGUGUUUACUGAGUUUAAUAUCACUGAAUGGAAUUACACAAAUUCUGAAUGUUAUGAUUUUGUAAGUUGACGAUUUCAGCUUUUGGUGGCUUGUAUACAUUCCUUUGUUAUUGUUGAUUGAUGUAGAUUUUUCUUCAAAUAUUACACUUAUCUGUCUUUAUUUCAGUUUUUUAAUUGAACAAUAGUGUAGUUCCUGCUGCAUAUGUUGUAUUUUAAAUAAUCUCAUGCUUUUUACAUGCAAGUGGAUAUAUACAGUAUGUGAAUCUUUUCAGUUUUUAUUCUAAUUUAAAAUACUAAAGAUGUGUUUAUACCUGGUUGGUCAACCUACUUUAACAGUUAAGAUGGAACACGUAGCUAUAGUUUGUUAUUAAAACUGUAUAUUUGCAUAAUGCAGCUUUUAUACUUAUUAUUAUAUAAAAGGUAGACUCAGCGAAAUUACGUUGCCAAGAGUAGCACAACAGAUAUUGAGAUGAGCGAGAUGCAAGACUUCACUCUCACACAGCCACAGACAGUAUCUGCACAUAUGCACGGAUUCACUUCACGUUCACAGUCUGGUAGUCUCCGGACCAAAACAGAGGAGAAGUUGAGCCUCAUGCUUCAACGUUCUUAGUUGUUGUGGAAUUUGAAUCACUAUGCAGUUUACUUGUUACAUCUACGUCAUAUCGCUGAGUCAACCUUUAAUCUCCACAAACGUUUGACUUAUAUUCAUUUUGAAAUACUGUCUAAGUAUUUUGUAAAAAAAAAAGUUUUACAGCAGAUAUACAUUUCCAACAUGUAAGUAUUUUGUAAAAUGGUUUCAGUAGUUGUUAUAGUAGUCAGAUGAGUGUUCCACUAUGGGACUUAAAAUGGAGAAGGUAUGUUGUGUUUUGUAAUUAUUCUCAUCUAUCAAAUAAAAGUGAUGAUUCCCCACAUCA